rnacentral:lncRNA from 1 species
GAUGCAAGUUGUUAGGCACGUUUUGCACAUGCCUUCCAUCGUUUUGUUCGUUUACCAGUUCUGUCUCGCGAUUUAGAGUCAAAAAGAAAAUAUUAAGUAGGCUGAGAUAUGUUAGUUUAAGUUAGAUUUGUGUUGUUUAAGUUAUCUUUGUCUUCUGUUCUGUUGAUUCGAAAGAACGAAAUACGAAGCGAACGAACGAAAAUACGAAGCAAAAUUGAAGAAACGAAACGAAAAGGAAACGAUAAAUGCAAGUUGUCGCCCAAGAGCCUGAGCCGAAACAAUCCAAAACCAGUUGGAAUACAUGGACUAAUUUGACAACUGUGUAUUGGAGGGCGGCGGCGACAACAGUUUUGGAUUUGGUUACUCGACCGAAAUCAUGAAGUAAGCGGACGACGAGAAGCUGAACGCAAGAAAGUACUUCCCUGUGAUCGUACCUUUACCGACCUGACUCUUCCAUCGGAACUUUCCUUCGUGACCUCGAUCACACCCAGCGGCCACACACCUCUUGGGACCAAGUUGUCAACAAUGAGCACAACGUCUCCGUGCCGUAAGUUGUCGUGGCUCCGCGUGCACCUCCCGGCCCGUUGCUGAAGCGGUUUCAUCUACCGAAUUUAGAAAUGUCAACUGUUGAUGGAGAAGUAGGCAAAUACAAAUGCUUCAUGCGCGCUUUUCACAGUAAUAUAGUGUCAAGAGUCAGUCAUGAGGAGGAGAAAUUACAUUACUUGCAUCAAUAUACUGUUGGAAGACCACGAGAAAUCGUAGCCACAUGCUUGCAUCUGCCACCUGAGCGAGGCUUUGCGGAAGCCAUGAGUUUGCUGGACCGUCGAUAUGGGAGUCCAGUUCAAGUAGCAGCCGGACUUGUAGAAAAUUUGUUGAGAUACUCCAGUGUGAAGGCAGAUGACGUAGAAGGCCUGGAGACGUUUGCGAUUCAGCUGAGGGGAACUAUGAACGCACUGGGAAGUCUACCUCAUGGGGUGGGCUCUGUCGAUGUGAAAACAAUUCGAUCGCUAUUGGAGAAGGUGUUUAUGGUUUUAUGUUUAUCUUCAUCGCAAUUGAUAGUGUUUUUCUACAUUUUCAGAAAACCAGUUGGAAUACAUGGACUAAUUUGACAA